GGGUAACCUGCCCUAUGCUGGAUAAUAACCUCGGGAAACUGAGAAUAAUGAUCCAUAGUUCACUACGCCUGGAACGGUGAGUGGAUGAAAGCUCCGGCGGCAUAGGAUGGGCCUGCGGCGUAUCAGGUUGUAGGGGGUGUAACGUACCCUCUAGCCCUCUACGCGUACGGGUGUUGGGAGACAUAGCCCGGAGAUGGAUUCUGAGACACGAAUCCAGACCCUACGGGGUGCAGCAGGCGCGAAAACUUGGCAAUGCGAGAAAUCGUGACCAGGGAACUCCAAGUGCAUCGGGUAAGACCGGUGCUUUUCUUGACUCUAAAUAGGUCUUGGAAUAAGGGGUGGGUAAGGACGGUGCCAGCCGCCGCGGUAAUACCGGCGCCUCAAGUGGUAGUCGCUUUUAUUGGGCCUAAAACGUCCGUAGCCGGUCUGAUACAUCCGUGGGUAAAUCAACCAGCUCAACUGGUUGAAUUCUGCGAGGACGGUCAGACUUGGGACCGGGAGAGGUGUGGGGUACGCUCAGGGUAGGGGUAAAAUCCUGUCAUCCUGAGCGGACCACCUGUUGCGAAGGCGCCACACUAGAACGGAUCCGACGGUCAGGGACGAAGCCUAGGGGCACGAACCGGAUUAGAUACCCGGGUAGUCCUAGGUGUAAACGCUGUGGACUUGAUGUUGGGGGUGCUCCGAGCACUCUCAGUGUCGAAGCGAAGGUGAUAAGUCCACUGCCUGGGAAGUACGGUCGCAAGGCUGAAACUU
rnacentral:rRNA from 1 species